UGCAUAUCCACACCGGGCGAGCUUGAAAAAUAUGCCCGGCCACGGUGGGAUUCGAACCUACGACCUUUGGAACACUAGCCCAAUGCUCUUCCAACUGAGCUACGCGGUCAGGACGGUUCGAGUAAGUGAUAUUUCGGAACAGUAUCUAGUUCCUUCAAUACCAAUGUGUUCUUGUAAUAUGAAUUUUUUUCUGUGUUGGUGUUGUGUACUCAGGUGAAUAAUAUGUUUGCGAUGUUACUCUGAGUGCAUAUCCACACCGGGCGAGC